rnacentral:ncRNA from 1 species
AGCGAAGAUAAAAACACGGUCCGGUUGGUAGUCCGGGCGCGGGAGAUGUAUCCUGUCAGUAACCUGCCUCCUUGGUUGUCCAUUCUUUGUUCAUAU